rnacentral:rRNA from 1 species
AUGCACCUGGAGAAGGUGCCAGGGCCGGAUGGAUUCACCGAACAAUUUUUUAGAUCGUGCUGGGAGAUAGUCAAAAGUGAUUUGCUAAAGGCUAUCAGAAAGUUACAAUCUUGCAAUGGACAGAAUCUGCAGCCCCUCAACACUGCCACGAUGAUUCUUAUCCCAAAGACCAACGGAGCCUGCCACCCGAAAGACUUCCGGCCCAUCUCCCUCAUCCACAGCUUCGCAAAAAAUUAUGCCAAAAUCCUUGCAACUAGACUCCCAGCAGUCAUCCCCAACAUCAUCAGCCCCUGCCAAAAUGCCUUCAUACAUGGAAGAAGCAUCCAUGAUAACUUCACCUACGUCCAAAGCCUUGUCAAAGCCCUAAAGCAAAAGAAUAUCCCAUCCAUUCUCCUCAAACUAGAUAUAUCCAAAGCCUUUGACUCAGUUUCUUGGGAAUUUCUCCUAAAGUUACUCACUGCCCGCGGUUUUGGGUACAUUUGGACGGAUGGAAUUGCCACCCUUCUUCGCACAAGCACCACCCAAAUCCUUGUCAAUGGUGAGCUAACCCAAAACAUCAUACAUAGAAAAGGAUUGAGACAAGGGGAUCCAUUGUCGCCACUUUUAUUCGUCCUCGUAAUGGAUUGCCUUGCGCGGAUCAUGGACAGGGCCCACAACAAUAUAAUCCUUCCCACACUGAACCCACAACAUGUGAAAUUUAGAGCUUCUCUGUAUGUAGAUGAUGUGAUCAUCUUCUUAAAGCCACAGCUUGCUGACAUGGAGGCCACUAGCCAGAUCAUGAGGCUGUUUGGAGAAGUAACAUGA